rnacentral:rRNA from 1 species
UACGGGGGGGGGUAAGCGUUGUUCGGAAUUACUGGGCGUAAAGGGCUCGUAGGCGGCCAACUAAGUCGGACGUGAAAUCCCUCAGCUUAACUGGGGAACUGCGUCCGAUACUGGAUGGCUUGGAUUUGGGAGAGGGAUGCGGAAUUCCAGGUGUAGCGGUGAAAUGCGUAGAUAUCUGGAGGAACACCGGUGGCGAAGGCGGCAUCCUGGACCGACACUGACACUGAGGAGCGAAAGCCAGGGGAGCAAACGGG